ACUUUACCAAGUUGUUCCAACUUCUGUUAUUGACCCUUUGCUUAAUGAAUUGUUUGAUGAUGAUAAAAUGGUAAUUUUCUAUUUCUAUUAUUCAUUCUUUAAUUCUAUUACAUAUGUUAGCUGGUACUCUGUGAAUAACUUUUUUUUUCUUUUUCAACGUAGGGGUGAGGAGUGUGUGUGUGUGUGUGUGUGUGUGUGUGUGUGUGUGUGUGUGUGUUGGCUUUUUGUGACUUAAAGACAAGACCCAAAAGUUUAUAUGAAUAAAUCCCACAGUACUGACCAUAUCCUGCUUAAAAUGCCCCACAUGUGGUUAGAUGCUUUCCUUUAUGACUGGUCUUUGAUGUGGAUCUCAAGCCUUCCAAGAUCUCUGAAUGAGCCAAUUCCACAGGUGUAUGUUUCUUCCUGGCUCUCCAAGCACAAGAACACCAGCAAUAUUGUAUGAGGAAUUUAGGCAAUGUACACAGGAGUCCAAAAAGGGAAUACUCUUGUAAACUAUACACAUAAAAGUCCUUGUUAGGGGGUGAGGUUAACACACUCGGGGAUGGAAAUAAGGCAGGAAAUAUUCAGGGCCAGGUUGGAAUAGUGUAGUUAUUUGGGAUACCUUACAAACUGUCAAGUUGAUAAAAUUUAACUCUUAGAGCACACACUGAGUAGAACAAGAAAAAUAAAGAGAAAUAUUAAUAAACAAGAAAUGAAAGUGUCAAGGUAUAUCAGAGACAGGUAGGAAAGGGAGCUUCCUUGUUUACUUCAGAACUCUCUGAAUUUAUAGUGGAUUUAACACAGAUUCACCUCCCCUCAACAGGGAGCUUAGCGGCCUCUCUGUGUGGAAGACCAGACUGGCUUAAUGGAACCAAAUGUCUGAAUGGGGCAGCCUCCGUCAUAGGAAAUGCUGUCCACGACACUCGCACCUCCUUGUCCGGUCUCUGCGGCUCAUUUCCUGUGGGUGCUGGUCUCACGUGGCAUCAGCAACAAAGCUGAGACGUAAUCUUUCUAUUUGUACCUGGCCAGGAAGUUCCUCCACUCACACAGUUUCGCGCUGUUUCAUUUCUGACCCACUUUCUUCACCUCCUUCGUUUGUUUCCUUCAAGAGCAGUUUUAGCUCCCAACCCCAGCCAGUGCCUUGCUUAAAUUGCUUUAAUCUCCAAGUGCUUCUUAUAUUGAUUUUAAACAGUUAAGCUGCCAAUCAACUUCUCUCCUUGUGCAGCAGCCGAGGGCAGAGAGAUUAAAACAACAAACAAAUAAGGCUGAACCUAGGAAGUUGGUUAGAAUUUCCAAAUGAAUGUUAGCAGCUCCUCUGUCCCC
rnacentral:lncRNA from 1 species